rnacentral:rRNA from 1 species
GAUGAACGCUGGCGGCGUGCCUAAUACAUGCAAGUCGAGCGAACAGACGAGGAGCUUGUUCCUCUGACGUUAGCGGCGGACGGGUGAGUAACACGUGGAUAACCUACCUAUAAGACUGGGAUAACUUCGGGAAACCGGAGCUAAUACCGGAUAACAUGUUGAACCGCAUGGUUCAACAGUGAAAGACGGUCUUGCUGUCACUUAUAGAUGGAUCCGCGCCGCAUUAGCUAGUUGGUAAGGUAACGGCUUACCAAGGCAACGAUGCGUAGCCGACCUGAGAGGGUGAUCGGCCACACUGGAACUGAGACACGGUCCAGACUCCUACGGGAGGCAGCAGCAGGGAAUCUUCGGCAAUGGGCGAAAGCCUGACGGAGCAACGCCGCGUGAGUGAAGAAGGUCUUCGGAUCGUAAAGCCCUGUUAUUGGGGAAGAACAAAUGUGGAAUUAAAUAUGGCCGUCUUGACGGUACCUAAUCAGAAAGCCACGGCUAACUACGUG